GUUUGAAGGGCAGAGCUGUGUUCCCUCCUUGUUAUUUGAUCUGAGGCCAAACUAUGGUGGAGGUAAUGAAGAUAAUGGAGACCUCCUUCAAAAGUUCCCAUGCAGUGCCCCCAACCCUGCAGCAGGCCACCGCUGACCCACACCUCUGCCAGAGACUCCUGGACACUCACAGGUCCCUGAAUGACCCUACAGAGAAGUUCAGAAAUCUUGGCAACAACAACAAAAGCAACAAUCUUUUGAAGAAAGUUGAGGCUAAGGAGGCGACUUCACCAGCACACUGGAAGACAUCUCUCCAGGACCUCCUUUCCUGCCUGAUCACCUGGUGGAUAUCUGCUAACUGUCCCAAGCAGGUUUUGAGGAGAAUGAAGACAGAGGAUGGCAUGGGUCAGUGGGAGAGCAACUGGAAAUGACAUUCCCCAAUUCAGCACUGUUUUCUGAAACAAUGUCAAGCCCUUACAAGGAUGGGAAAAUAACCAAGUCACAUACCGUGAAAGUCAAGGAUUCUCUCUUAGGGAAUAAGUGUCCUCAAGCUACUGUCCUCCCAGUACAUUUGUGAGCUUAACAGUUUGGAAUGUCAACAAGAAGGGUGACUGAGGGCAGAGGGCUGCAAGAGGUCCCACAGCCCACUCAUUGAUCAAUGCAAGGAAAGAAGUCAAAGCUGGAAGCUCUUUGUAAAGAGUGUGCAAACUAACCACUUUGAGUCAACAUGUAAGAGAGAUUUAUCUGCCCCAGACAUGCACAAGCUACAACCAAGAAUCCUGAGCAAGCAGAUAUCCUGAAUACAAUCCUCUAUAGGGAAUGCAGCUGAAAAUCUGUUCAAUAAAUGUUGACACCCUGCGUUGUCUGUCUUUCAACAUCCCUCACUAACUAACCUUCCAAAUACUCAGUUCAACUAGGGAGAUGUUCAAUUCAACCAUUUUAUUUACAAUAGUUUUCAAGACCAAAUCUGGGCUUGAAUGUUUCUAUGCUGACUCAUAAUUUUUAAAAAGAGAGAGAGAAAGAGAAAGAAAAGAAGGAGUCAAGGAACAGUAUGUAAUAAGUCCAGUUGAGGUUUUUUGUCUUCUAUAGUCUUUCAAAAGAGGAAGCGGAAGUUUGACAACCAGCCUCUAAGUGGAAGUUCAAUUAUCUGGGAAGGUUUCAAACUCAGCAGACCAUAUGUGUAAUCAGAAGCCCUUGCCACAAGUUGCUUAGAAUACCCUCAGUUAUUAGCAUAUUUAAAAAGGACCUAAAAGAGCAGACUCAUAAAAUCACAGGCACUCACUCUGCAGAGUCAGUCAUUAUUUCAUCUGGGGGAGCAGAGACCUUUGAGUAGUCUGUGUUGCUGUGAUCCAAGCACCUUGACCAGAAACAAAGCUGGAAGCACACUUGGAUAGAUCAAAGACAUGGAAAAUGAGGAGAGCAGCUUGGCUAGUGUAGCACUGCCUCUGCUGCUGCUAAGUUGCUUCAGUCGUGUCCAACUCUGUGUGACCCCAUAGAUGGCAGCCCAGCAGGCUCCCCCGUCCCUGGGAUUCUCCAGGCAAGAACACUGGAGUGGGUUGCCAUUUCCUUCUCCAAUGUAGGAAAGUGAAAAGUGAAAGUGAAGUCGCUUAGUUGUGUCCGACUCUUAGCGACCCCAUGGACUGCAGCCCAUCAGGCUCCUCCGUCCAUGGGAUUUUCCAGGCAAGAGUACUGGAGUGGGUUGCCAUUGCUUUCUCCAACACUAUGCAAUAGAAAUAUAAUGAAAGCCAUAAACAUGACUUUAAAUUUCCUAGUAGCCACAUUAAAAAAAGUAAAAAGAAACAGGGAAAAUGAAUUUUCAUGACAUAUUUUCUUUAGCCAAAUAUAUCCAAAAUAUUAUCAUUUCAACACAUAAUCAAUACUGAAAUAUUUAAUAAAAUAGUUUACAUUCUUCUACUCAUACUGUCUUGGAAAUCUGAUGUAUAUAUUACACCACAUAUCAUUCACAGUACAUGUGUUUAUUAGUACAUCAGUUCAAAUCAAAAUGAACCACAUACAAGUUCUAAUUUCUCAGUACCCUACGACAUCAGGACAUACCAUAGUCUAUUAAAAAAGUGAUUUCAUCAAUAUGAUUUGGAAGAUAAGUACAGUUGCACGUUGUAACAGUAGGAGAGUUGGAUCCUGUCUUUGUGGCCAGCAAGUUGUGUGACCUUCAACAAGUCACCCUUUUUCCUCAUCUGCCAAUUGAUCUCCCAAGUACUCUUUAACUCUCAGAUUCCCAAGUUCUCUGGGAUUGUGAAAGACACUGGUGGGGGUUCUAAAGAUAUAUACAUGUGGUUUUUAAUACUUGUUCCCAUAAGAGAGGAAGCCUAACUCUCCACCCUUUCAGUAUGUGUUGGAUUUAGUGAUAUGCUCCUGGUGAACAGAUUAUGGCAGAAGUUAGAGGAUGUCACUUCUGAUAUUAGAUUGUAAAGACAUUGCGGUUGUUUUUUUUUGUUUGUUAGAUUCUCUUUCUUUUUCUCAUUAUGUGCUUGAGGAAAGUCAGCUGCCAUGCCAUCCUGCACUGUGGGGGACAGGCCUGCCAAUAUCCAUGUGAGUGAGCUUGGAAACAGAUCAUCCUCCAGUCAAGCCUGAGGUGAAUGCAAACAAGAGGACAGCUUGAUUAUGACCUCACAAGUGAUCCAGAACCAUAAGCACCCAGUUAGGCUACUCUUGGAUUUCUGACCUACAAAAAUGUGUUGUUUUAAGUUGCUAAAUUUGGAUAAAUUUGUUACAUAGGCAGAGCUAGCUAAUACAAUACUCUUAGAAUAUGAAAGACAAGCUGAAUGAACGAAUUUGAGAAUCAUUAGUAGGACUAGAAUAAUGAAUGCAAUAAGUGCUGUUGUGGUACUGAUGCUUGUUAAUGCAAGGGUGGCUCCUCCGAUUAAGUGAAUUAAUAAGUGUCCCGCCGUGAUGUUGGCUGUCAAUCGUACAGCAAGGGCUACUGGUUGGAUGAAGAGGCUGACGGUUUCAAUAAUCACUAGUAUUGGGAUUAGUGGGGUGGGUGUCCCUUGUGGUAGGAAAUGGGCAAGUGAUGCUUUAGUUUUGUUGCGAAAGCCUGUAAUUACGGCUCCUGCUCAUAAGGGAAUAGCCAUGCCUAAAUUUAUUGAUAGUUGUGUAGUUGGUGUAAAUGAGUGGGGUAGUAGGCCUAAUAAAUUUGUAGACCCAAUAAAUAGGAUUAGGGACAUUAAUAUUAAUGUUCAUGUUUGUCCUUUGGUGUUGUGAAUACUUAUUAUUUGUUUUGAUACAAGUUGAAGUAUUCAUUGUUGGAGGGAGAUGAGGCGGUUAUUGAUUAGUCGGUUUGAUGUAGGAAAUAGUAAGCUAGGAAAUAAAACAAUGAGGGUAACAAGGGGAAGGCCUAGUAUUAUAGGGGUAAUGAAAGAGGCAAAUAAAUUUUCGUUCAUUUUGUUUCUCAAGGGGUGUCUUGUUUUGGUGUUUUUGUUGUUAUUAAUUCUGGGCUGUAGUAGAAAUCGUGUUUUGAGAUUUUUAACUGGAAGAUAAUAAAGAGAACUAGAAAUAUUGAUAGAAUUAUUGUAAGUCACAUUGAUGUGUCUAGUUGUGGCAUGUCAUCAGGGAGAGUAUUAUGCUCUCAGUCUUUAACUUAAAAGGUUAACGCUGGCAUAGCUUCUUGAUGAUUUUAUAAUAUUGAUGCAGAUCAUUUUUCAAAGUAUUUUAGUGGGACUAGUUCGAGAACGAUUGGUAUAAAACUGUUAUUUGAUCCGCAGAUUUCUGAGCAUUGACUGUAGAAUAGGCCUGGACGAGUUGACAUAAGGGUUGUUUGAUUUAAACGACCUGGAAUUGCAUCUGUUUUUAGUCCUAGAGAAGGAAGUUGACUGCAAAAACCAAGUUGACUGCAAGUAGGACUGCAAACGCCGUGCUUUCCAUCAGGCAUGGAGUCUUUCAGGCAGCAGCAAUGCAAGACAGACCCAUCAGUUUUGAUAAUAUAUAACAUUAACUGAGCAUUUCAGUGUAUUGGCACUAUUCUAAAUGCUUCAUGUGUCCUAACUCAUCUAAUGCUUACCAUGACUGAUAAGGUGGGCAGUACUAAUAUCUCCAUUGCACAAAUGAAGAAAACACAAACAAGGAGAGGUUAAUUAAUUUGCCCAGGAUUAUACAGGCUGUAAAAGACAAAAUUAUGACCUGAACAUCGAUUUUCUACAUCUCUGCAAUAACGCCUCAUACGUGUAAUGCAGUGGAUGUUCUCCUCAGAAACCGGUUGACAGAAGAGAGGCACAGGUACGCAGUGAACAGUCCUGAAGCAAUGUCCUCCCCAGGAACAGGGCAGACUCCUGAGCUAAACCAUCUAUCCUUAAGUGAUUUUGGUUAUUAGCAGCCACAAUUACACAUCCGGGGUGCUCUAAGAGGGGAAGACUGAUGAGAGCAAUGGCCCAAAUUCUCUUAAAAAUAAAAAUUUUAAAAUUAAAACCUUAUAAUACUAUAAAUGAUAAUGUAGCAAUUAGUUAAGGAAGACUGAAGUUAUCUGAAUUUGGGAGAAUUGUUAUUUGGAGAAUCAGCUUUUCAAGUAGCAACAAUGGGGAGCUGAGAUGUUUUAAAUGCAUCACAAACAAGGGACAGUGAGGGGAGUGCUUUUUUAAUUGGAAACACAAAAGUGAUAUUAAACCAGCAGAUGACUCUGAAGUUCGAGGUUAGUGAGAAUUUCCUAUCAGGGAAGGCUAUGAAAUUUGAGCCUGUG
rnacentral:lncRNA from 1 species